GUCAGCCUCUUUAGUGAUCCCAAGAUAUUUGAAGGAUUCCAUCGUGAAUCUAAUGGGAUAGGAUGACAUAAUGAGUGCAGUGUCCACAGCCAAAUGGUUGAGAGGCAUAGCCGAGGAUUUUUUUAAAUGAACCUUAUACCCAGAGAGCUCCCGAAGGUCUCAAGAGCCAAAGUCAAACGAUGAAUGGAGGGGAGCGCAAUAGUUAUAAUUAAUAUCGGGCAAGGUAAUUGAAAAUAGCUGGGGUGAAAGAGAGCAUUACUGACUAGUGC